GCAGGUGGAAGAGAUGUGUUUGAGUUUCUCGCUCUACCUAGUGUGAGUUGGACUUGAGAGGUUAACUAAUAGAUUGAAACCUUAUGAUGGGCAAAUUUUUCAUCCUUUUUUUUUUCUGCUUCUUUUGAAUGCUUUUUCUCUCUUUCAUAAACACUUCUUAACACCUUCAAAACAUAAUACAUUUGAACUAUUUUGUUAGGCAUCUUUC
rnacentral:lncRNA from 1 species